GACGAACGCUGGCGGCGUGCUUAACACAUGCAAGUCGAGCGGUAAGGCCUUUCGUGGUACACGAGCGGCGAACGGGUGCGUAACACGAGGGUGAUCGUCACCGCACCUCGGGAUAAGCCUGGGAAAAUGGGACUAAUACCGGAAAUGACCUCCUGUCGCUGCGUGGGGGGUGGGAAGGUUUAUCGUUGCAGGAUGGGCCCGCGGCCGAUCAGCUUGUUGGUGGGGUAAUGGCCUACCAAGGCGACGACUGGUAGCCGACCUGAGAGGGUGAGCGGCCACACUGGGACUGAGACACGGCCCAGACUCCUACGGGAGGCAGCAGUGGGGAAUAUUGCACACUGGGCGAAAGCGUGAUGCAGCGACGCCGCGUGAGGGAUGACGGCCUUCGGGUUGUAAACCUCUUUCAGCAGGGACGAAGCGCAAGUGACGGUACCUGCAGAAGAAGCACCGGCUAACUACGUG
rnacentral:rRNA from 1 species